rnacentral:lncRNA from 1 species
UGGGAGCCAUGGAGGGUGCGUGAGCAGCAGGUGAGACUGGAGCCAGCUGAAAACUGGGAGACCGACCCAGCCAACAAACAAUGUCGGUCUCUGUCCUGGCACCCGCAGGAAACAAGCUCCUACUUCCAGAAAAAGUGCUCCUGGGACUCAAGGAUACCAAGCAUCUGGGUAAGGUACAACGCUUAACCACUUAACACAAUCAGGAAGCAACAGCCACGCAUUUGGGAAAGGAACUUCAGCGUUGUGUGGCUCACCUCCUGUUACCCUGUUACCAUGACAGCCCUGAUAAAAUAACUGGGAAAGUUCUUUUUCUUAUUGUUUUUUUAGUCCAAAAAAAAAAAA